GGAAGUGUGCCUGAAUAUCCAAGGGUCACUGUGAUAGAGUGAACAUAGAGGUAAAACAAUCCUCUCACUUCCU
rnacentral:tRNA from 1 species